GAGCUUUCACUUUCCCAAUUCCUGUUUCUCUCUCAUGACUUCUCUCUCAUGGAUCGAGCUUCAAGCUCAUCAUCAACCACAAAUUUAACAAGAAGCAUGGAUUUUGUUCAAAGAGAAAGCAGGUCAAUCUGUGAAUGAUCCUAAUUUGUAUACAAUAGCAAGAGAUGUUGCAGAUGAAUGCAAGGGCCUUCCUAUUGCCCUUAUAACUGUUGGCAGGGCUCUUAAAGAUAGAGGCAAGACUUUUUGGGAGUAUGCACUUCUCCAGCUAAAAAGGAACGUUCCGACAAAUAUCCCGGGACUACUUAUGGAUGUGUAUCGGCCUCUGGAGUUGAGUUACACUCGUCUGGAAAGUAAUGAAACUAGAAUAAGGAAAUAGAAAUAGAAGAAGGAGAUGCUGAUACUUAGAAUCAAGAAGAAAAAGAAGAGGCGGAUGCUGGUGUUGCUGACCUUAAGCGGGGAGGCGGUCAUCGGAUGACUUCUUUUGGAAUGUAAAAUUCGCCAUAAUGAAGUAAUUAGUCGUGUUGUUGUGGUUGAUCGUUAUGCUCUCCUUGCAUUGCAGUGAAUGAGGAAGAAGAAGAUGACGAUGAGGAGGUACUGAAAGUUGAUUACUUCAAUAGUUUUCUAGUAUUUGUUAAAAUAAUCUGAAGAAAUUAGUUUGUACGUACAAUACAUUUAUUUUAGUCUCUAGAAUAACAUGGCAUUGUGCAAAUGAAUCA